ACGGAAGUUGCCGAGUGACGUCAGACGCCGGCGAGGCGCGCUUUCGAGUCGCUUGUUCUUCCCCUGUGCAUCCGCUCUCCGCCUGUUAUGUUCAGAAAGUAUUAGGGUGAUGGUGGCCUCAUAGAAUGAACUUGGCAGUGUUCCUUCCUCUACAGUUUUUUGGAAGAGUUUCAGAAGGUAGCUCAUCACACACACACGCCACCUCUUCCCAGCAGAGAGAGUACAAGUGUUCUUCGAACCACGAACGAUAAAAGGAACUGCUUCCGACCCAGAGCAAGCUACCAUUUUGUCAUCUUCCAAAGAGCCAGAGACUAAAUCUGGAGAAGAGCUCGUGGGACAUGAUCUGGAAACAGUUCAAUUGAGCAGGUUCCGCCCAGCCUUGUGCUCCUCCCUGAUCUCCUGGUUCCUUUAACGGCAAGCUAAAGAACUCAGCGGGAUUCCAGAUGGCUUGUCAACAGAAGAACGAAGCCCAAGGGCAAGGACGACUGGAACUCAGCUAACACCAGAUGAUAAGAUCCUUGAGGGCAGGACCACAUCUACCCUGCUCCCCACUGGGUACCCAGCCCCACCACAGAGAAAAUGCCGAUCCAGAACCAGUCAGAAGAACUAGUGAUGGGAGGGAGAUGACCAAUCCCUGUCUAACACCACAAAAGGAGACUUAAUUUGGUACAAAGAUCUAGCCAAGUGGGGACACUGUGAUUCAGAUGACAGCAACAAUGGAUGGGAACUAGAUUCCUGCCCCUGUUGAGUGUGAAGCCAUCACAGGGACAAGCUUUCAGACCUAAUGUGAGGGAAGGAAAACUGUCCCUAACAUUGGUGACACGUAAAGGUUGCCUUUAUUUCCAGGUCAAAUUUGUCUCAAUAUCUGGGUGGCUGGACUUCACAGAUAGAAAGACACUUCUCAAGUCAGAGUUCAAGAUGCCACACAUGACUAAUUCAGCUGUCUGGAUUUUUCAAACUUUGGUCCAAAUGACUUGAACCAAUUUAAUAUGUCUUUGCUGCUUUCACUCAUUAUGCAAAGCAAUGAAAAGGCUGAGAUCCUAACAACAGGCACAGCCUAGUAAACAAUAGAGAAUUCUUUAUAUAAGGAGCUUCUAUCCCGACUUCUCUCCUCAUAAAAUGCACCCGUGAUUAAAGGCUACAUACACUUCCCAGGACAGCCAAUACUAGAAAUGUUUCCUUUAUGCUGAACAGAAAGCUGAAAUUUGCCGCCCAGUGGCUCCAGCCUGGCUUUGCACUGCAACACAAACAAAAAUAUAUUCCACCUUCUCCAUGGCCGUUUUUUAAGAUGUGAAUUCACCUCUCACGUCUCCCCUUUUGCCCAUGUCUUGCCUGAGUGCUUCAACCACUCCCUGGAUUGCUGUAGUUCUCAACUCCUUUCCAGCCUGAUCCUGAACAUCUCAAUGUGCUCAUUUGUCCCUCUUCCAUGGUUCUAACUUUUCAAAACAAGUAUUCACAUAAAUGGCUACAGAAAUUGAAAUUUUAAACCAUCCUUUUGUUGUAUGAGUUAAUACAGUGUACUGGACAAAUACAUUAAUCCUUACCACCUGAUUUAAGUAGUUGUUAGUUUAAAUUUAGAAUUAAAGCUCUCUUCCUCUGUCUCUAUCUAACUGUUGAAACUCAGCUGGCCCCUAGGUGGUGCUCAUUCUGACGGCGCCAUCCUAAAUUUCAGCCUGUCAUUUCAUGCCCAUGGCUGGGUCUUUCAGACCACAUCGUCAGCACUUAGAGAAGCUCUAUUUAGGAGAUAUUAAAUCACAGGUAGUAAAGCAAGGCAUGGACAGUGAUCUUUAUAUGCUUCCCUAUUUUCAUAUAUAAAUAUUCCCCUACUUUCAAAUUGGUAUGUCUAUUAGAGUCCGGAAGUCACUUAGAAAACAGAAUUCUAAACUACUUGAAAAUGUCUUUUAAAAAAGACCCAUCAUUAAACGCUUACAGAUGAUAACUCAAUCAGAAGCCAAGGCAUAUGAGGUUUUGUUCACUGGUUCUCUAAUAUUCGACAGGGAAACAACGCAGACAGCACCCUACAGUGAGGCAGGAGAAAUGGAGUGCACCACAGCCAAGGAGCGCCACGGGGAAAUGAGGGACAGCCUUGCCCCAGACUUCAUGUGUGUGAAGUUCAGAAGCAGAAAAGCUAUGAUCUAACAGCCAUGGUUCCAGAGAUGCUAAAUGUGACAAAGCAAUGCUUUUCCUUGGGAAACACACUCCUGACAACUACCCAAUGCUGAUAUACGGCAAGACCUACCCAUCCCUGUUGCUGGCACUGUUCCUGCCUGGCAGUGCCAAGGAACUGUGAAAGUGCAUGCAGGGUUUCCUCAUCUGAGCCUUUGUUCCCCAUUCUCUUAUUCUACUGAGCCCUGAGACCGACACACGGGCCAAUCACACUGUGUGACUGGGUUUCUCGUUUGGGAGCAGAUUUUAUCUAAUGUGUACGUUUAUCCUACACACAAUAAAAAAAAAAGGUGU